CCCUUAGAUGUUCUGGGCCGCACGCGCGCUGCACUGAUGCAUUCAACGAGUCUAAAACCUGCUCUGAUAGGGGUGGGUAAUCUUUUGAAUGUGCAUCGUGAUUGGGAUAGAUGAUUGAAAUUUUUCAUCUUCAACGAGGAAUGCCUAGUAAACGCAAGUCAUCAGCUUGCAUUGAUUACGUCCCUGCCCUUUGUACACACCGCCCGUCGCUCCUACCGAUUGAAUGAUCCGAUGAAUAUCAUGGAUUGAGGAUGCAAGUAGGUUCACCUAUCUUCAUCUUCGAGAAGUGAAGUAAAUCUUAUCAUUUAGAGGAAGGAGAAGUCGUAACA
rnacentral:rRNA from 1 species